rnacentral:lncRNA from 1 species
GCCCAUUUCUCUUCCCCAAGUUGGCCUUUGAGCUCCCCAAGCAUCCAUAAGAGCUUUCACACAAGUUGGACGAAUUUAGGCCAAUCUAAACAAUUCUAUUCAGCCAUUUCAGCUCAACCAUCACCUCAUUAAUUCAAGGCUAUUAGAAGACAUCAAAUGGCUGUCCAUUGACGUCUCCAAAGCUGGGAAUCUUCAAGAAAGCUUCAAGGGACGUUCUAGGAAGCUACAUGAAAUUUUCAAUUCAUUUGCUUUGAAAAUAAG